rnacentral:lncRNA from 1 species
GUGUACCCUGACGGUUGGCGGGUUCGUCUACUUCUGUGAGCCCACGUGCGCCGGUGGAGUGUACUUGAGAUCGGGCGUGCCUAUGAGGAAACUGAGGCUCAGAGAGUCUUUUAAAGUAACAUUCCUACAGCUGCCAGCUUUGUGUAUGGCGGGACCAUGGCCGCAGCCCAGUUCAGAGGGCCAAGGAGUGCUUUCACCACCAAGCCCAUCACUGCACAGGGUGGGGAAACAGGGCUUGAGAGCCACCCCCGGUCUUGCUGGGAGUGGGCUGGAGUGUUGACAGCGGAGGCUCAUCGCCACAAGUAUUCAGGAGGCUGAAUGGCCAUCCA